AUCAUGAUCCGAGCCGAAGGCAGACACUUAACUGACUGAGCCACCAGGUGCCCCUUAGCUUUUGGUUCCCUGCCUUUCACAAGGGUAGUCAAUUAAUAUUGAAUGGUUGAAAACAAAGUGAGAGGGAAAAGGCACAUAUCUGGAAUGGAAGAUGGAGACAAAUGUUUGCUGCUUCCCAUAGUCAAAGUUUAAGGAGAAAAGAUUAUAUUAUCUGGGCACCCCAGGGAGAGAGACUUGUCACACUGGAUCCUGCAUGGGACCCUAAGAUAUUGUGCUAUAGAAAUUUGAUAGUCAUCUGUUAAAUAUGUAUGUAUAUGAUAUAUAAUAUGCAUUUAAAAACAUACCCAUUAUUUAUGUUUUGAGAAAUUAAAUUUUUCUGUCUUGCAGUCUUA